UACGUAGGGGUCGAGCGUUGUCCGGAGUUACUGGGCGUAAAGCGCGCGCAGGUGGCUCAUUACGCCCGGCGUGAAAGUCCCCGGCUCAACCCGGGGAAGGUCGUCGGGUACGGGUGAGCUUGAGGGUAUCAGGGGCUGGCGGAAUUCCCGGUGUAGUGGUGAAUGCGUAGAGAUCGGAAGAACAUCAGUGGCGAAGGCGGCCUGCUGGGCUGUUGCCGACGCUGAGGCGCGACCAGCGUGGGA
rnacentral:rRNA from 1 species